rnacentral:rRNA from 1 species
GCUUUUGUACACACCGCCCGUCGCUACUACCGAUUGAAUGAUUUAGUGAGGUCUUCGGACUGGUACGCGGCAUCGACUCUGUCGUUGCCGAUGCUACCGGAAAGAUGACCAAACUUGAUCAUUUAGAGGAAGUAAUAGUCGUAACAAGGUUUCCGUAGGUGAACCUGCGGAAGGAUCAUUG